CUCUGAGCCCAAGCCAAGCCAUCGCAUCCCCUGUGACUUGCACGUAUAUGCCCAGAUGGCCUGAAGUAACUGAAGAAUCACAAAAGAAGUGAAUAUGCCCUGCCCCACCUUAAGUGAUGACAUUCCACCACAAAAGAAGUGUAAAUGGCCGGUCCUUGCCUUAACUGAUGACAUUACCUUGUGAAAGUCCUUUUCCUGGCUCAUCCUGGCUCAAAAAGCACCCCCACUGAGAACCUUGCGACCCCCACUCCUGCCCGCCAGAGAACAAACCCCCUUUGACUGUAAUUUUCCUUUACCUACCCAAAUCCUAUAAAACGGCCCCAUCCUUAUCUCCCUUCGCUGGCUCUCUUUUCGGACUCAGCCGGCCUGCACCCAGGUGAAAUAAGCAGCCAUGUUGCUCACACAAAGCCUGUUUGGUGGUCUCUUCACACGGACGCGCAUGAAAUUUGGUGCCGUGACUCGGAUAGGGGGACCUCCCUUGGGAGAUCAAUCCCCCGUCCUCCUGCUCUUUGCUCCAUAAGAAAGAUCCACCUACGACCUCACGUCCUCAGACCGACCAGCCCAAGAAACAUCUCACCAAUUUCAAAUCCGGUUCCAAAGCUUAUGAAUCUACUGUAGCUGAUCAAGAUAUACUUCAGGUCUCAGCUGAGAACUCACAUCCUUCUGAAGCUUAUAAGACUUGAGCAAAAUCCAACUUGAAUCAAUUAGUGAAACAGAAUGAAUCCACCUUUUCACCACUUCAAUCAAAUGCCAGUUAGUAGCAAUUAGUACUCACUGAAGAUGAUAUACGAUCCUGAAAAUUCUAAUCAGGGAAAAAAAAUCCUGGGGAGAAAUUCAAGCUAGCUGAAGAAAUUUGCAUAAGUAAUGGGGAACCAAAUGUUAAUCACCAAGACAAUGGGGAAAAUGUCUCCAGGGCAUUUCAGAGAUCCUAGAGGCAGCUUUUCCCAUCACAGACCUGGAGGCCUAAGAGGGAAAAAGUGGUUUCUUGGGUUAACCUUGGGAUGUGGCAUCCUGCAUCCCAGUCACUCCAGCUCCAGCCACGGAUACAAGGGCCAAGGUACAGCUCAGCCCAUUGCUUCAAAGGGUGGAAGCCCUAAACGUUGACAGCUUCCAUGUGGUGUUGAGCCUGCGAAUGCACAGAAGACAAGAGUUGAGGUUUGAGUACCUCCACCUAGAUUUCAGAGGAUAUAUGGAAAUACCCGGAUGUCUAGGCAGAAGUGUGCUGCAGGGGCAGAGCCCUCAUGGAGAACCUUUGCUAAGGCAGUGUGGAAGGGAAAUGUGUGGGUUGGAUACCCCACAGAGAGUCCCCACUGGGGCACUGCCUAAUGGAGCUGUGAGAAGAGAUCCAAUAUCCUCCAGACCCCAGAAUGGUAGAUCCACCUACAGCUUGCACCAUGCACCUGGAAAAGCCACAGACACUCAACACCAGCCCAUAAAAGCAGCCAGGAGGGGGACUGUACGCUGCAGAGCCACAGGAUGGAGCUGUCCACAACUGUGGGAGCCCACUCCUUGCAUCAGCAUGCCCUGGAUGUGAGACAUGGAGUCAAAGGAGAUUUUGGACCUUUAAAAUUUAAUGACUGCCCAGCAGGGUUUCAGACUUGCAUGGGGCCUGUUGCCCCUUUGUUUUGGCCAGUUUCUUCCAUUUUGAAUGGGAACAUUUACCCAAUGACUCUACCCUCACUGUGUCUUGGAAGUAACUAACACCUGCUUAUUGAUUUUACAGGCUCAUAGGUGGAAGGGACUUGUCUUUUCUCAGGUGAAACUUUGGACUUGGACUUUUGAGUUAAUGCUGGAUGAGAUAAAACUUUGGGGGCUUUUGGGAAGGCAAUGACUGGUUUUGAAAUGUCAAGACAUGAGAUUUGGGAGGUGCCAGGGGUGGAAUGAUAUGAUUUGGCUCUGUGCCCCCACCCAAAUCUCACUUCAAAUUUUAAUCCCCAUGUGAUGUGAGAGGGACCAGGUGAGAGGUGAUUGGACCAUGGGGGUGGUUUUCCCCAUGCUGUUCUCAUGAUAGUGGGGAGUUCUCAUGCGAUCCGAUGGUUUAAAAGUGAAAGUUUCCCCUGUGCUCUUUCUCUU